rnacentral:rRNA from 1 species
AUUGAACGCUGGCGGAAUGCUUUACACAUGCAAGUCGAACGGCAGCACGGGGCAACCUGGUGGCGAGUGGCGAACGGGUGAGUAAUACAUCGGAACGUGCCCAAUCGUGGGGGAUAACGUAGCGAAAGUUACGCUAAUACCGCAUACGAUCUACGGAUGAAAGCGGGGGAUCGCAAGACCUCGCGCGAAUGGAGCGGCCGAUGUCAGAUUAGGUAGUUGGUGGGGUAAAGGCUCACCAAGCCAACGAUCUGUAGCUGGUCUGAGAGGACGACCAGCCACACUGGAACUGAGACACGGUCCAGACUCCUACGGGAGGCAGCAGUGGGGAAUUUUGGACAAUGGGCGCAAGCCUGAUCCAGCCAUUCCGCGUGCAGGAUGAAGGCCUUCGGUUGGUAAACUGCUUUUGUACGGUAACGAAAGGUACCUGGUUAAUAACCUGGGGCGUCAUGACGGUACCGUAAGAAUAAGACACCGGCUAACUACGUGCCAGCAGCCGCGGUAAAGAGU